UUAGUGGCGAACGGGUGAGUAACACGUGAGUAACCUGCCCCUCACUCUGGGAUAAGCCUGGGAAACUGGGUCUAAUACUGGAUACGACCGAUCUCCGCAUGGAGUGUUGGUGGAAAGUUUUUGUGGUGGGGGAUGGACUCGCGGCCUAUCAGCUUGUUGGUGGGGUAAUGGCCUACCAAGGCGACGACGGGUAGCCGGCCUGAGAGGGCGACCGGCCACACUGGGACUGAGACACGGCCCAGACUCCUACGGGAGGCAGCAGUGGGGAAUAUUGCACAAUGGGCGAAAGCCUGAUGCAGCGACGCCGCGUGAGGGAUGACGGCCUUCGGGUUGUAAACCUCUUUCACCAGGGACGAAGCUAACGUGACGGUACCUGGAGAAGAAGCACCGGCUAACUACGUGCCAGCAGCCGCGGUAAUACGUAGGGUGCGAGCGUUGUCCGGAAUUAUUGGGCGUAAAGAGCUUGUAGGCGGUUUGUCGCGUCUGCUGUGAAAGACCGGGGCUUAACUCCGGUUCUGCAGUGGGUACGGGCAGACUAGAGUGUGGUAGGGGAGACUGGAAUUCCUGGUGUAGCGGUGAAA
rnacentral:rRNA from 1 species